rnacentral:rRNA from 1 species
GUGGGGAAUCUUGCGCAAUGGGCGAAAGCCUGACGCAGCCAUGCCGCGUGAAUGAUGAAGGUCUUAGGAUUGUAAAAUUCUUUCACCGGGGACGAUAAUGACGGUACCCGGAGAAGAAGCUCCGGCUAACUUCGUGCCAGCAGCCGCGGUAAUACGAAGGGGGCUAGCGUUGCUCGGAAUUACUGGGCGUAAAGGGCGCGUAGGCGGACAGCUUAGUCAGAGGUGAAAGCCCAGGGCUCAACCUUGGAAUUGCCUUUGAUACUGGCUAUCUUGAGUAUGGAAGAGGUAUGUGGAACUCCGAGUGUAGAGGUGAAAUUCGUAGAUAUUCGGAAGAACACCAGUGGCGAAGGCGACAUACUGGUCCAUUACUGACGCUGAGGCGCGAAAGCGUGGGGAGCAAACAGGAUUAGAUACCCGGGUAGUCC